GCGGAGGAGCCGCUGCCUCCGACCAGCCCCCGACCGCCAAGCCCACCGGGCCGCCACGUGCCGCAAGUCGGGGCAAUGGAGAGAGGACAGCAGAGAGCUGGGAGCGCUACCGGAGCGCUGGGCUAUCUGGCCAGCGGGCACUUCAUUUGGCGAAGAAGCUUCGUGGCGUGCGGGCGUGUUGCAGAGCCGGAAAAUGCGCGCGUAAACUGAUUAAUGAGUAGCACAGAGCACAAAGCACAACCGAGAAUAGAGCCAGAACAAAGAGCAAACAUACGAGUGUCGUUCCGUCGUUCCGCCGUACUCCCGUUCUCCCGUGACCGUUGUUCCCGCUCCCCCCGAUCCCUCGUUAUCCAUCGCCUGGCUAUGUGUUUAUGAAGUGCGUGAAUGAAGUGCCACAAAACGUUGCGGAAACCGUUUGCUGGCCCAUAAAUUGGCCAGCCAGUCCGGGUACGCUGUGCUGUUGCGGUCGUUGUCGUCGUCGCAGUCGCAGUGAAAGUCGUUGUCAAUGCCGUUGAUAAUGCGGUUGGCGCUGGCUGUGCCAGGAGCGGAGUCCGUGCCAGUUCCCGUGCCAGGCCGUAAUUGUCACUCGAAUGACUCUCUAUGCGAUACCAAUAAAAGUAGCAACAAAUUCAUCAUUGUCACAUUUGAUGCAACAACAACAAUUACAACAAUAUAACACCAACCAACGACAAAACCAACAAAGUAUUGCCACCAGCACCACCCGAAUAACGGCCAAAAACCAGAGUGGGACUCCGCGUCAUGUUAGAGGCUAAAAUAACAGAAGCAACAACAACAGAAACUGCCACAUCAGUAAUUAGAGCAAUUGCAACAUUAACUAAACCAGCAACGACUACCAUCCAGAGACCUAUAACAAUACCAACACCAAAACCAAUCCUAAGAUGGUCCUGAGCACCGAAUGGUCACAGGUGGAGGUUAUCGAUCUGAUCAACGAUGGCAACGGCCUCGGAUUCAUCCUGGUGGGCGGCCGCAGCACGGGCGUGGUGAUCAAGGCCUUGACGCCGGGUGGCGUCGCCGAGCGGGACGGACGCCUCCAGCUAGGCGACCACCUCCUGCAGAUCGGAGAGGUCAACCUGCGCGGCUUCAGCUCGGAGCAGGUGGCCACAGUUCUUCGUCAGACCGGAGCUCAGGUGCGUCUGAUAGUGGCGCGGCCGGUAGAGCCGACUGCCAUCGAUUACCAAACGCUGGCCAGUCAUGCGCCGAUUAUACCAACUAAGCUCCUCUCCGACCCGGAAGAACUGUCGCGUCAUCUAUUCCAGAACCCGAGCUUCUCCACCGCUGCGGCUGCGGCUGCAGCUGCGGGCUCCGUGGACGUCGCCAAUCUCGUGGGUCUGGUGCGGGGCGGACCCACAGAUGGCUCCGAGCUGGCCACGGCCGAGCCGCUGGGCCUCGGACACCUACAGCUGGGCGAGCUGACGGAACUGGCCGAUUUCCCCCUGCCACCCAUUCCCCCGCACAUGAUCGGGAGCCACAGCAGCAGCUCGAUGGAGGCCAACGGGCGGCAGUGCCCGCGAGACCUGGACAUUGUGCCCUUCUCCAUACUCUCGCCUCCGCCGCGUCCCGCCCUGCAGCUAGCCCUGGAGCCGCGCUGGAGGACGAGGGACCGGGACGGGCAGGAGGAGGAGGACGAUCAGCAUAUUGAGACUGUGAUAGCCGGCAAACUGUUGGCCGACGAGGAGGACGAAGAGGGGGACGGCGAUGGUGACGACUCCGCCUCUGCCUCGCCCUCGUACAUGGACUCCCCGGAGACGGAGACGUACGUUGUGGAGCUGCACAAGAACGUCUACGGGCUGGGCAUUACAGUGGCCGGCUAUGUGUGCGAGGAGGAGGACCUGUCCGGGAUCUUCGUGAAGAGCAUCAUCGAGGGCAGCGCCGCGGAGACGAGCGGCCAGAUCCAGAUCAACGAUCGCAUCGUCGCCGUCGAUGGCCGCUCCCUGUCCGGCGUGACGAACCAUCAGGCCGUGGAGCUGCUGCGGAACACGGACAUCGAGGUGCAUCUGACGCUGGAGCGCUUCCUGCGCGGCCGCAAGUUUGAGCACCUGCAGGUGGCCCUCACCGAGAUCAAGGGCCGUCCCGCCCCCUGCACUGUGGACAACGAUGGCGACGGCGACGGCGACGGACAGUCGCAGCUGUCGAUGCCAGGAUCACCCUCGAUAGCCACGCUCAGCUGGCUGCCACCCAAGUCCCUCGACGCAGACUCCAUUGCCACCGAGGGCGAGGCGGAGGGCGAGGCCGGAGCAGCGGACGAUGAGCCGCUGGAGUUGGCCGAUCUGCCCUCGCGGGACACCGUCGAGUCGAACAUGUCGCACGUGCUGGACCGCAGCGACCACAGUGGGCCCCGGCCGGCCAAAUCUCCCAAUCUAGUCCCAAGUACCCCUCCCCCUUCGACUCUGACCAAUGGCCAGCUUGUGCGGAGCAGAGGCCACGGGCGGAUGGCGGCGGAUGACAGUGGCAACGACACCGACGAGCAGUGUCCAGAGCCCGAGCCGGAGCGCGACUUAGAGACCGAUGCAGAUCCCGCCCAGAGUCGGACGCCCACCAAUGAGCUGGAUGGGGCGGCGAUAGGGGUGAAGGGUGGGGCAGCAGUCGUGAAAGCUGACCGGGUCGAGAAGGCUGCCAGCCCGAGCGCCGCCUCGCUGCGGGUGGCCUGGAAAAGUGAGUUUCCCGAAAGUGAAAUUUUAGUUGCCGAAAUAAAUAAACUUUCAGGUCUAGGGAUCAGCCUCGAGGGCACCGUCGACGUCGAGUGCGGUAUUGAGAAGCGUCCGCAUCACUACAUACGCUCCAUACUCGAGGACGGUCCCGUCGGCCGCCAGGGCAUCCUGCGGCCCGGCGACGAGCUGCUCCAGGUCAACGAGCACAAGCUCCAGGGACUGCGCCACAUCGACGUGGUCAAGAUCCUAAAGGAGCUGCCCGCGCGCGUCAAGCUCGUCUGUGCCCGGGGCACGCGGGUGCCCUCCGUCAUCAACACCUCGCAGAAUGCGGAGGCCUUUGAGACGCGCAGCCUCCUGCCAGGCGGCCACCAAAGCCUGCAGAACCUGCUCAGCAAGGCGCAGUCGGAGAGCUCGUUGUAUACGUCCAGCACGGCGACGCUGACGGAUGCCGCCGGAGGAGCGGGCAACGGCAGUCAUCAGCGCUCCAAGUCGCUGGAGAACGUGUCCGGACUGGCACUGUGGAGCUGCGAGGUGACGGCCAUCGACAUCGAGAAGACAGAGCAGGGCUUCGGCUUCUCCAUUCUCGACUACCAGGACCCGCUCGACUCGGAGGGCAGUGUGAUUGUGAUACGCGGCCUGAUACGCGGUGGUGCUGCGGAGGCAACCAACGAGAUAUAUCCGGGCGAUCGCCUCAUAAGCGUCGGCGAUCAUCUGCUCCAAGGCCUCGAACUGGACGAGGCAGUCUCCAUUCUAAAGGCCAUGCCGCCGGGCCUCACGCGCAUCGGCAUCUGUCGGCCACUCUCCACGUCGGACAGCAACAGCAACAUAGCCUCGCCUCUAGGCGACUCGGCCAGCACAUAGUGACAGCCCCUCGAUGGCCACUCGGAGCCAGAGCCAUUCUCAAUGUAUUAUAUGACCCUUAUAUCAGCGAUGUGAAGGUGCCACAACACCCGCAACAGGACUAGAACCAGCAGCAGCAUGCCCCCUCACCGAAAGGGGGCGGACGUCUGCGGCAUUCAGCAUCGGAACAAUUUACACAUACAUAGACAAAACGCCCGGCAACGUCAACGGGAACGAGUCUGAAAACUAAAUUGCGUAAAUAAAUAAAUAAAAUAGCAUGGCACGGAACGAUUCUAAAAUAUCACAGAUUGUUGUAUCAAUAAAUUAUUAAUAAAAAUUUCUGCGGAUAAACAAACGAACAGAACAGAGCUAUAAAAAAGUUGUCACCAUCAAAAGUUGGACAUCAACCAGGAAAAAAACAAUUUCCAAAACAGAAACAAGAGCAUCAGCCAGGAAUGGAAUGAAAUUUAUUCAUACAAACACAAAUAUUGCAAAACAUUUUUCCAGUUUAGCAUGCAGAUGAGGACGAGGAUGAUGAUAGCCGCCCUGGUAGUUCUCACAUAUCCCCCAAAGACCGCGUCCCAGCCCUAGCCCCAAAAUCCAACCCAACCCCACCUCACUCCCACCCCCUGGAGGCCGCUGUAAAUAUUCGAGAGAUUAUUUUUAUUGUCCUUUUCGGAUUUAUGUAGCAUAAAAUUUACAAUUUCUAGCAAGUACGAGUAAAUCAUUUAUGUAUUUAAAUAGGUAUGGCCGAGGCCUGGACGAUGUUGGUCGGUCUGUGGGGCGGGCUGUGUCGUUGGGCGGCGUGACUGUCACAGAUUGCUUUUCUUAAGAGUAGGUUCUAAGUAGAUAAAUAAAACACACAGCCAACACUCUCACAUUAAACACACAGAAAAACGAAAAGCGAACAUUUUGAAAUUGUAUAGAACGGGAAAAUUGAAAGUAAAGUUAAAUAGAUUCUUCGAGUUACUCAUGCAUAUAUUGUAUAUGGAAAGAUAUAUACACACAUACAUAUGUAGAAACCACAAAUGCUUUGCCUAUGCAUAAACUUAUUUAUACAAUUGACGACCAAGCAAAAGUAAAACUUUAUAUUUAGUGACAGGAUCAAGCCUAAAUCACACAACACACAGACACACAAACUAACGUAGACCAGAGAGAGGACACGUGAGUGCUGUAAGAGUAGACAAAGGACCAGUCCUCGACGACGGUACCUGACUUUCCUCCACGCCUCCUCCACUCGCCUCUGAAGACAGAAAUUAUUAAAUAUAAAACAAAAGCUUGUUAGUGAUACUAAUUUUAAAUGAACAAAAGAGAAAAACAACACAACUAAAUACAUAUUUGUAAAACAAACCAUGUUUGAUAAUUCUUAGCGGAUCUUCAAGUGUUUACAUUGUUAUGAAAUUUCAACAUUGAUUUCCGAAACCGAGUUCCGAUUUCAUUUGUAAAUAGAGUUGCGUUAUUUCCCCACAUCCAUACGAUAAGCUGCUUUAGCUAUUAAUAGACAACCGGCAGUCGGAAUACCACAUAAGAAGCAUACACCCAACAGUGCGUUUCAGAAAUAUAGCAUCAUUUUAAUUGAACAAAAUUACAGCAAGCAGUUCUUAUUGAAAUUCUUAAAGCCAAUGAUUCAAAUCGAUGACUGAAAUACAUAAUCUAUGAAAAUUAUAUGGAAUAAGAUCUUUGUUCAGUAGAUUCAAUAGAUUAUUUGAUAGAUAAAAAGUAGUUUAUGGCAUAUAAUUUGGAAAAAUCUAUUUAAUUUAGGUAUUCUACUAUACCAUAUCGAUUUGAACUUUCGUAUAGCUCUGAAACGUACUGUACCUACAUACACACAUACGUAAGUAUACCAAACAAACACACACCCAUACAUAGCAACACAGAAACACACACACUCAAGCACACUCGCCUAAGAAGACUCUCUUUUGCAGCAUAAAAGUGAACAAGUUCCAAGCAAAUCUAACAGACACAAUCUUACGCUCUAUAUGCCACACUCACACACACUUACAUAUGUAUGGACACGCACAUCAAUGCAGAAGGCAUAAUAUCUGAAACAAUUUACCAAUUAGCAUUACAUAUUUAUGAACAAAAACUGUCUGAGCAAAAGCAAACUAACUAAAGCAAAUGACUAGGCAAAAGGAACAAAAACAAACUAAAUAUAUAA
rnacentral:misc_RNA from 1 species